rnacentral:rRNA from 1 species
ACCUUACUACUUGGAUAACCGUGGUAAUUCUAGAGCUAAUACAUGCUGAAAAUCCCGACUUCGGAAGGGAUGUAUUUAUUAGAUUAAAAACCAAUGCCCUCUGGGCUCUCUGGUGAUUCAUGAUAACUGCGCGAAUCGCAUGGCCUUGCGCCGGCGAUGGUUCAUUCAAAUUUCUUCCCUAUCAACUUUCGAUGUUUGGGUAGUGGCCAAACAUGGUUGCAACGGGUAACGGAGGGUUAGGGCUCGGCCCCGGAGAAGGAGCCUGAGAAACGGCUACUACAUCCAAGGAAGGCAGCAGGCGCGCAAAUUACCCAAUCCCGACACGGGGAGGUAGUGACAAUAAAUACUGAUACAGGGCUCUUUUGGGUCUUGUAAUUGGAAUGAGUACAAUUUAAAUCCCUUAACGAGGAACAAUUGGAGGGCAAGUCUGGUGAACGUUGCUGGUGCCAGAGAUAGCCGCCCCUCGAUAAAUAAAGCAGCUAGUCGAGUGCUCAUGAAGUGACGGGUGAGCACCGGCGAGACAACCUGGGUCGGGGAAGGCUAAGGGCCCCCGCAUGGGGCCUAUGCUAAUCCCGAGCAGAGCCGGUACUUCGCGGCCUGUGUAGAGCGCGCCAAGGUGUCGGUUCCGGGACAGAGUGUUCCCGGGGCUUAAGGUACGUGCCAAUCCCCUGCGAAAGCAGGGCCCUGCGGACAAGCGCCCGUUACGCAAAGCUGCAGGGGGCCUCUUAGCGAGGCCGCGAUCUCAGCAAGUUGGGCCCUCCGGGGGAGACUUAGCUUAGAUGCCUUAAAUGGCCAGCAGCCGCGGUAAUUCCAGCUCCAAUAGCGUAUAUUAAAGUUGUUGUGGUUAAAAGCUCGUAGUUGAACCUUGGGCCUGGCCGGCCGGUCCGCCUCACGCGUGCACUGGUCCGGCCGGGCCUUUCCCCCCGCGGAACCCCAUGCCCUUCACUGGGCGUGGCGGGAAACGGGACUUUUACUUUGAAAA